rnacentral:misc_RNA from 1 species
ACAAAUCCAAUAUGUGGGUCAGGGUGUAUAACUCUGACCUAAUAUUAAACCGCUAGUCCCGUCAUUGGGACUAGUUGGAAUAUAAAUGUGUGUAUGUUGACAGUGUGUGUAACUAAAAUUUAUUGA